rnacentral:misc_RNA from 1 species
CCGAGUUUACAACUCCCAAACCCAAUGUGAACGUUACCAAACUGUUGCCUCGGCGGGGUCACGCCCCGGGUGCGUAAAAGCCCCGGAACCAGGCGCCCGCCGGAGGAACCAACCAAACUCUUUCUGUAGUCCCCUCGCGGACGUAUCUCUUACAGCUCUGAGCAAAAAUUCAAAAUGAAUCA